rnacentral:rRNA from 1 species
UACGUAGGGAGCAAGCGUUGUCCGGAAUCAUUGGGCGUAAAGCGCGCGUAGGUGGCCUCGUAAGUCCGCUGUGAAAGUCAAAGGCUCAACCUUUGAAAGCCGGUGGAUACUGCAGGGCUAGAGUACGGAAGAGGCGAGUGGAAUUCCUGGUGUAGCGGUGGAAUGCGUAGAGAUCGGAAAGAACACCAACGGCGAAAGCACUCUGCUGGGCCGACACUGACACUGAGAGACGAAAGCUAGGGGAGCGAAUGGG